GGCAACCGGCUUGGAAUCGCCCAGCUGUCCCCUCAGACGGCAGCCCGUGGCCGUCCCCUUCGCCGUGGGAUGCGGGGAUUUGGGGCGGCUGAAGGAGUCGGGGCCCCCACCACCGCUAGCGCUGCUGCCCUCACAGGGGCCGGGCCCCCCCGAGCCUCCAGUGCUUGUUGAGGUUUCAGUCUCCAUUCUGCUGAUCCGAAAGAAAGAAGGCGGCUUUUGGAGGACUUGAUCAUCGCGAGUCGAGCUGCUGCUGAACCUCCCCUUCCAACAUCCAGCAGGUUUGUUCUGCAGGCCCCAAUGAUGGCACAGGCAUGAAAGAGCCCAGAGCUCGUCGCUGGGGAGAGGCUGCGUAUGGCGUUGUGAAGGGAGAGAUGGAGGAGGGGUUUGAGCAGCGCUGUGCAGGAAUGAACGGCUGGUAAGAGAAGAGGCAGGAGUCGGGCAGCGGUACUGCAGCUCCUCUGGCAGCUUUGCAGCUCAGUAGGGAAGCAGAAGAUGUGGAUGUGAAAGAAGAAGUCCGUUGCUGGGACGUUCCCCUGUUCUUCCCCCAGCUGUCCCCUUGCUUUCCACAAGGCUGCCCUUUCCUUUCUCAUGACAGCCCACCCAUCAUUCCCUCAGAGCCCAUAUAUCCCUCCCAGUGUUUCCCAGCAAGACCCCUAGAGACACCCUGUAGCCCCCCACAGAGCCCUGGAGCCCCUCAAGGACCCCCUCAGACGCAGUACACCUCCCCCAUAGCUGGCCCAUAGCCACAUGGAGCCCCACAGUCCCCAGCAGCACCCCAUGUCCCCCACUGGGCUUCCACGGAAUCCUUCUAUUUCCUCCCUCAGACCUCCUUUACACCUCCAAGAUCCUCCCUGGGAACUCACUAACCCCCAUGUUCCCUGACAGGACCCCCAUCACCAUCCCAGGACCCCCAUAGCCCACCUUUGGCCUCUCCUCCCCCCGACCUGCCUCCAGAUCCCGUACAACCUCACAGUGCUGUGGCAGGGCUGGCUUCUGCAGGUGAGGAAUGAGGAGCUGGAGAAGGUGUAGGGCACAGAUGUGGGUCUCAGAAAGUGAAGUGGGUGGUACUGGGGAUACUGGGGAACACGGAUCAGAACAUGGGAGGAUUUGGGGAGGAUAAGGGGAUGUGGACCACAGCCUACAGGAGCAGAGUGCUUCACAGGAGAAGGCAAGGUGUGAGGUACAGGUGGGACUUGUGGGUGCGGGGACGUCAGGUGGCAUGGGUACGUGGGGGGUCUGGGGGCUCGUGGGGAGCGGUUUGGGGUCAGAACGGAGGAUGUGGAGUAGUGCUGGAGUGCAUUCAUUGAUUUCUUCCUGAGAGGGGAUUGGGGUUCCCUGCAGCCCAAAGGUGGAGCCCUGAUCCAUAACCCCACAUGAGCCCAGUACCACAUACUACUCCGCGUGACCCCGAGGCUCCACAUGACCCAUAACCCUGUGAGCACCAUAACCCCAUAUGAGGCUGUGGGCAGGGAUGGGUCUGUUCCUGGCUUGUUCAGGGGGUACUAUAAGGUGGCUCUGGGGCCACUGUAGGUCAGCAGCCUGAAUAAUCCUCUGACGCUCAUCUUGCCCUCAUCUUGGGGGGCCAAAUGGAGGUCGAGGGGUUUGUUGGGGGUAAGGAAGAGGCUCCAUGCGUGUAUCCCAUAGCUGCCCAGAGCAGCCCCAGAGCCAUCGUAGAGCUGCCCCAGAGCAGCCCCAUCACUGCCCGCAGCCCGUGGCCAGCAGCAGUUCCACCAGCAGCAGUGUGUUGGGUAAAGGCAGCUCCCAGGUGUGGCUCUGCUCCAAAGCUGCCCCAAAGUGCUCCUGAAGCCCUCCCAUAGGCGUCCUUUAGCUGCCCCACAACACCAUAAGGCUUCCCUACAUCCCAGCACAUCAACCCAAGUGCCAGUGGGGUGUGCGAGAAACGCUCACAUCCCUGAUGUUCCACCAGGCACAGCUCUCAGUGCAGCAGCAAAGCUCAUUCCUGAUUGCUGUGGCGUUACUGCACUCUCCUCUGUGAGCUCCUUCUGCUCCUGUAGCUCUCCUCCCAUGGCACCCACUGCUCUCCUGUUCCCCCUUGGCUGGGCACUGCAGGCUCACAGUCUCCACCACGCAUCCGCUGUGCAGUUUUUCCAGGUGUCGUCUAUGGCCAACGUGUUCCUUUCGGGCUGAUUGUGUGCUUUUCUAUGCCGACAGGCAGGCAGGAUUUCUUGCAGCUGUUGCACGUGCUGGGUCUCAUGCUCCGUCCUGCAGCUGUGCCUUAUCUCGUGUGCACUCUCCACCUCCCCCUGGUCAGAACGUCCUGGCCCUGCUGUGCUCUGCUCAGCAUCUGUCUGCUGCACGAUGACACAGCCGUCACACUGAGCCUGCCUUGUGCUAUCCCUGCAGAUGUUCGGAUGAUUUCCUCUGCCACUCUCCCACCCGUAACUGCUCGGGUGCUUUCCAGCAGCACACAGCUGGCACACAGAGCCAUGCUGACCACGGCAGGGUGCAGCUCCUUGUUGCAGUCCCGUAGCGGUGGGUGGCCGUGCCAAAGGGGGAUCCCACCGCUGCUGCUCCCCAUCCUUCUGCGCUCGUUCUGCACCACCGUGCAUUCCUUUUCCUCGUGCUGCGCUGCCCUCAGAGUGCUCUGCCCAUUUCUCGGGGUCGUUGCAGCAGCUGCUGCAAGUGCAGAUGUUGGAGCAGUUUCUUCCCCACCGCGAGAUGCCUUCCAAGAGGCACUGCCCCUACUGCUGCAACGGCCCCAGUCUGGGACGCCCUUUUGUAAGGGGUUGUGUUGUUUGUUCUGCAGCUGACUUGGGUUUCUUCUGCCACUGUCCCAUGAAAGAGUUGAUUUGCUUCAGUCCAUCCCUGCUCCGUUCUUGGUUCAAGCCAAGCUCCAGUCCCUUCCCUGGUCUCAGUGGGAUCAGUUUGUUCUGUUCUCAUGCACUUACAGAAACAGAAGCUACCAACCCACCAAACCCUGGGACAGGUAUUUCCCUACAGAAGCAUUCAUGUCCUUCUCCUGGCCCCUUUGGCCAAUUCCCAGCUCUCCAAACUGAGGCGUAUGGCUGCAGCCCUCCCCAUGGCUUCUUUGGGGCAGCUGUGGGGCAGCCUCACCCCGAGAAGGAGAUGCCUUUUCCCCACACGCAGCUGGUUCUACGUCCACAUGAGGUGACAUGCUGUUUCUAUGGCAUGAAAACAUGCUGUUUCUAUGGCAACAUCAGGUGAGGACAUGGGGUCGUGGGUCACAUGGGGGUCCUGCAGGGUCACAGAGUUACGGGGUUAUGUGUGGCUAUGGGUUUAGAUGGGGUUUCGAAUCACAGUGAUAGGGUCAGAUUGGAUGGUAGGGUCAGAUGGGGUGACAUGGAGUUACGGAUCACAUGGGUGGUAUGGUCGGGGUGAGGUGGGGGCAGGGAUCCCAGAGUUAUGGGCCACAUGGCGUCGGGUCAUAGCGUGAUGGGGGCAGGCAGAGUCAGGGAGUCACAGGAUCAUGUGGGGAUAUGGUUCCCCCAGGGCUCUGGGUCACGUGCAGCCAUGGGGUCACGCACAUAGAGGGCGAUGAGGUCAUCUUGGUUUAUGGCUCAUGUGGGGUUACGGCUCAGGGCCCCACCUUUGGGCCACAGGGACACCCAGUCCCCUCUCAGGAUGAAAUGAAACCACUGCAAACUCUGCCCCCUUCCUCUUUUUACCUCAAACCACUCCCCACAUCCUCCCAUACUCUCUAUGUCCCCAUACUACCCCAUACCCCUGUGUCCCACCUGCAGCCCACGUCUUGUCUUCUCCUGAACAGCAUUCUGCUCCUGCAGCCUGUGUUCCCACAUCCCUUAAUGUCCCUAUAUCCACCAAACACACCCCCAGAGAGCCCUAUAGCUCCUCAAGGACCUUCUCAGACUCAGUACAUCUCCCCUACAGACAAGCUGGGCCAUCACAGGCUCCUGCAGUCCCCAGCAGCAGCCCACAUCCCCCUCUGAGCUCCCGCUGAAACCCCUUGUUUUCUUCCUCACACCUCCCUUACCCCCUCAGUCCUCUCCUGGGAUCUCAGAGUCCCACAGUCCGUGACAGGACCCCCAUUACCAUCCCAGGAUCCCCAUAGCCCACCAACGAGGAACCCCGCAGCAAUCCACAUCUCAGGAUGGGGCUCCAGCUGUGCACCAAUGCGUUCAUUCAAGAGAGGAGAAUGAAUGAGCGUAAAGGGGGGCCUUUCCUCCUGACGUUGCCCACCGCCUGCGUGUUGGCUGUGCCGUGCCAGCAGCAUUUUGUCCUCGAGCUGUGAGUGCAGAAAACGCCGUCCUUUUGCUGAACUUUGCUCAUUGUACACCCGCCAUCACAGCAAAAAACGCUCAGUGCUGCCCUGGGAAACUCAGCAAUCUCCACAGCGUUGCUCUCCAAGUUAGCACGCUCAUGGCCAGGCUGUGUUCCCUGCAGCUCUUUGCACGUGCUUUGCAGACAGUCUGUCUGUGGGCAGUGCAAAGGACUGCUGCCUCCGUUGCAUCACUGGACGGCAGCAUUCACUGACGGAGCUGUGGCAGUUCUGAGCGAGCGCCGCGAGACCAAUAACGAGGAGGUGGUGCAGCAGCUCUCCGAGUGCCGCUGGACAAAUCAGGCCGUGCGCUCUCUGUGAAUCUCUCAUUGUGACUGGUUUUUAUUGACUACGUUUGAAGGUGGAGUGCCGAGUUGGGCGGCACUCAGCACUGCCCUGUAACGCCGCGCACUGCAGAAGCUGCUGCCUGCUGACGCUCCUCCUCUCAGUCCUUCAGCUGCAGCUUCUGCAUCAUCUCCACAAGGCUGUCAACUGCGGAGGCCUGGGAAGAAACGGAGCGAGGGUAGAAACAGGACACCACUUCCCUCGGGAUUUUACAGUCUCCUCCUUUCAUGUGUGACAGACGGAGGCCCUGAGAACAACAAGAGCCGUGUCUGUGUUCACCAAGGACUCACCUCUGCACGUGCAGCGGCAGCUCUGAGGGCAGCCUUCUUCAGCUCCACUCUCCUCUCUUUUCGUUGUCGUCUUCUUUCUGUAAGGCAAGAAAAAUAGAUGAAUGCAUUUUGUCUACAGUGAAAUGGCAGAAACAUGGGUGCCGUACAAGCAGAAGGCAGCAAAAAGACAGAGGAAAUGGGACUAGGAAGCCUCCCAGUGAAUGACAUUUCCAGGAGGCGUGCAGAAGACUGCCAUAGAGUUAACGGGAAGAGACAGGGUUACACGUUCUGGCACCUCACUGCCUUUGGACUUUGUAGCCUUCCACUCUUUUCCCCUCCAUGGAGAAGGAAAAAGCAAAGCCAACCCUAAGCAAACUCAGUGUGCUCGCACAGGGAAGCGCCUCAGCACGGCGGGUACCACAGCACCUUCUCACCUCUUUGCUUGGAGCU